CCCGCCUGCCCUGUGACUAUAUGUUUAACGGCCGCGGUAUUUUGACCGUGCGAAGGUAGCGUAAUCACUUGUCUCUUAAAUGGAGACCUGUAUGAAAGGCACCACGAGGGCUUGACUGUCUCCCCUUUGAAGUCAGUGAAAUUGAUCUCCCCGUGCAGAAGCGGGGAUUUGCUCGUAAGACGAGAAGACCCUAUGGAGCUUAAGAUAUAAAGCGGCCCAAGUCAAAAACCCCUCCAAAGGAAGCAAACAAUAUGGACCUCCGCUGAAAUAUCUUCGGUUGGGGCGACCGCGGGGAAAGACCAAACCCCCACAUGGACCGGGGCCACAAUAGCCUCAAAACCUAGACCCACAGGUCAAAAAGACAGUAUUUCUGACCACCAAAGAGCCGGCAAUGCCGAUCGACGGACCGAGUUACCCUAGGGAUAACAGCGCAAUCCCCUCCCAGAGCCCUUAUCGACGAGGGGGUUUACGACCUCGAUGUUGGAUCAGGACAUCCUAAUGGUGCAGCCGCUAUUAAGGGUUCGUUUGUUCAACGAU
rnacentral:rRNA from 1 species